rnacentral:rRNA from 1 species
GACGGACGCUGGCGGCGUGCUUAACACAUGCAAGUCGAACGAUGACGACCGAGCUUGCUCGGUCUGAUUAGUGGCGAACGGGUGAGUAACACGUGAGCAACCUGCCCUUCACUCUGGGAUAACCUCGGGAAAUCGGGGCUAAUACCGGAUAUGAGCUCCUGUCGCAUGGCGGGUGUUGGAAAGUUUUUCGGUGAAGGAUGGACUCGCGGCCUAUCAGUUUGUUGGUGAGGUAGUGGCUCACCAAGGCGAUGACGGGUAGCCGGCCUGAGAGGGCGACCGGCCACACUGGGACUGAGACACGGCCCAGACUCCUACGGGAGGCAGCAGUGGGGAAUAUUGCACAAUGGGCGAAAGCCUGAUGCAGCGACGCCGCGUGAGGGAUGACGGCCUUCGGGUUGUAAACCUCUUUCAGCAGGGAAGAAGCGAAAGUGACGGUACCUGCAGAAGAAGCGCCGGCUAACUACGUG